rnacentral:rRNA from 1 species
GAGUUGGAACCACCCCUUCCCAUCCCGAACAGGACCGUGAAACAACUCCACGCCGAUGAUAGUGCGGAUACCCGUGUGAAAGUAGGUAAUCGUCAGGC